CGAAUAGAAGUCCGCUGGUUAGGGCAAUUAGCUGUUAAUUAAUUUCUCGCGGGAUCAAGGCCCGCCUAUUCAG
rnacentral:tRNA from 1 species